UCUGUGGAUGAAAUACUUAUGUUUUGAGUGUUGGUGCCCAUAUAAUACGAUGGUUAAGGUCUCUUUUUUCAGUAAAUAAAUUAUCACACCUGAUUUCUCAGCGGGAUUUUUUUUUUUUUUAUGGUGCGUCUAAACUGAGUAACUGCAUAAGGUUUUACCGUGCAUACCACUACCUUCUCUCCAGCGCUUUUUUUUUUUUUUUUUUUCAGCGAGAACAUUUUAAAAUGAAUAUUCGUAACGUGUGUGUGUGAUUGACCUACGGUCGUUUGCUGGUCACCCAGCCAGCCGUUCUCCCUACGGAAAGUUCAGAGCUCAUAGUGACCGAUCUUCGGGUAGGACUGAGACCACUGACACACCACACACCCGGGACAGCGAGGUCAUAACCCCUCGGGUUACAUCCUGUACCUACUCGCUGCUAAGUGAACAGGGGCUACACAUUAAGAGGCUCGCCCAUUUGCCUCGCCGCGCCCGGGAUUCGAACCCGGGCCUUCUUGGUUGCUAACCGCUACACGUUGUGGUGUGUGUGUGUGUGUGUGUGAGGAGGAUAGUGUAAAACAAGGAAAUAAUGAGAACAAGAACGAAAAAAUUAAAGGAGAAAACACGAAAAUAAGGUUAACUACAGCAUGACAGUAAGGAGGAAACAGGUGGAGGAAGGAGACGUGAAUAGAGUCAGUGCCUGCCCACGUCAGUCACAUGGAAGACGCGCUCGGGAAGAGGUAAGUGUGUUGGGGUGCGGGCGUGUACACCUUCGUUGAUAAACGUAUAUCCGUGAACCUGAUCAUGCUGGGCCCGGAAUCCAAGAAAGAACAUGCCAGCAACCCAGAUGGCAAUCUCCGGCCCAAUCUUGUCCAUCAUCCUGCUGAAGGAAAGGCCUUUCAUGAUUAUCCUGAGCUUUAUAAGGAAAGAAGAGUUACCUUGUUGCCUCGCAAUUCCCUUGUCCCAUGAACAGGUGUCAAAUGCGAGCAGCUGUGAUGCUGGUACAGGAACUGCAGGGAUAAAGUUGUGGUCACCCCACAAGCAGGGGGGUUGGGAAUGAGCCCCUCCAGUGGUGUGCUGCUAGCUUCACGUCCUGGGUAUCCAUCCCCGAUAUGAGGGACGGAGGACGCGAAGACGUUCCACAGUCUGGAGACUCGCCCCCAAAAGGUGCGCUGGUGUUGGCUGGAGCGGGAACGCGGCACUUCCACUGAGUCACCACUGGAUGACACCGUUCUCGUGUCCCGCGAGGUAUCCAACUAUCAACCCAAUCCACAGGAGAAGAAUGAAGAAAUAACUGGGUGAUCUCUGAACCAACGACCACAGCCUGGAUUCAAACUCAAGCCUGCAGAUUCAAAGCCAAGGAGGAUAACCACACUCCACCACAGAAGUGUGUGCAGAGGCAUCAGUGUUACAUCAAAUACGUUAGUUAUCUUGAAUUCUCGCUGCUCCUUGCCUUGCACUUGUAGCAGAUGCGUCUUUGAAAGGGUGUGUGCAGGUUGAUGUCGAAAAGCCUGUAGGAAAAUAUAAGAUUUAAAUAUAGAAAUUUCCUACAAUAUUACUAUGUAACAUGCACUGACAUAUUCUAAUAAAUGCUGUUUAUUUCGCUAUU